AAGUAUAUUGUGUGAUUACGAAGCCACAGUACUAGCUUUAGACAUUCAUAUUAAAAGGCUUGUCCUGGAAACAACUCUUUAUUUUUUGGUGUACUUUUUGUGGAAUUUUUUGGGAAUGUUUAAGGAAGUUUCUAUGUAACUAUUUUCAAGUAUAUUUCGGGAACUUAUAUUCAAAGCAUAAACAAACCCAAAUUGUACCUAUUUCUGUGAAGAAACUGAGAGUAAAUCCAUUUCAAUCAAAAUGUGCUAUCCGUGCUAUUCCUGCUGUGGAUCCUGUGGACCUUGCGGACCCUGUGGAUCUUGCUGUGGAUCUUAUUGUGGUCCCUGUCGCAGUGGAUGUGGUCCCUACUGUGGAUCCUGCUGUGGUGGUUGUGGACCUUGCUGUGGUGGCUGUGGACCUUGCUGUUAGCAUCUUCAGAACGAAUUUUAGGUACACCACAUUAAUUAUUUCAUUAAAUUAAUUUAUGUAGAAUUUACAAAAUGUCAAUAAAAUGGGACAAGCCUUGAAUAGUUGUUGUUGUUGUUUUUUCCAAUAAGCAAUAGGUGGCUCUUUGCAGACUGAUGAAAAUCUAAAUAGUUGUAGAAGCGCCAUCUAUGUUUCAUAAUUCGUUUAUAACUUUAAAAUAAUUGCUUCUUCACAUAAACAAAAUUAUUAUUAAAAUUUCGUUUGAGCCAAAUAAGAUGUCGAAUUCUAAAGCUUGUCCACUUUUUGUGGGAUUUCUCUUAAAUGUUCUUUAGUUUUUA